AGCACCUAUUGGCGCAAUUCAGCAAGUGGGGUGGCUGGAGGUGAUUCUAGCAGUCUCCCCAGGGAGGGGUGGGCAGAGUCCAGACUGCUGGGUUAAGUGGGUCAGGGCCACGCCGAUGAGUGUGGGGUUGGAGGGCCGGAUUCAAGGUGGUGCUGUUGAUCGUGUUCAGGGGGAGAAGAGGAGCAUUUGGAGUUUGGUCAGGUAGAGGGGCCAUCUGAUAGCCAUUUGUAUAAACAGGCCCCGUGAUCCUACUAGACCCUAAAGCCACUUUGCACUUGUCUUUCCUCAUCAGCGCCCACUCUUCCUCUUUUAGUCUCUGCUGCUGCCACUAACCACUGCUCAGCUCACGGCCUUCUUCCUCUUCCCAGUGCCCACGACCUCCUGAGACUCUCCACUUCUCACAAGCCACCAGCCCAUGUAAAGAUGGCUUUCAGCUGUUUCCUCAAGACUCCUGGUAACCUCUUGAAAAAGCCGUAUUUAUUGUAUGUGUGUUUUAACAUUAUAAAUGUAAUCUGCAUUUGAUGCACAAAACCCAGAAGAGUAAAAAAGAAGCGAAAACUCGUUGACAGUCCCACUACCAAGGGUUAGUAUGUGUUCUGCCAGUCUAUUUUCCGCGACUGUUUUUCAGCAUUGUUUUUAAAGACAUUAAUGACCUAAUUAUACACUUCUGAUUUAGGCAUCGUUCUAAGUACUUUGCCUGGAUGCUCUCAGGCCGCAUAUAGUACAGCCCUGUUACGUCAACACUUUUAUUACCACCAUUUUUACAAA
rnacentral:lncRNA from 1 species